CGUAGGUGGCAAGCGUUGUCCGGAAUUAUUGGGCGUAAAGCGCGCGCAGGCGGUCCUUUAAGUCUGAUGUGAAAUCUUGCGGCUCAACCGCAAGCGGUCAUUGGAAACUGGGGGACUUGAGUGCAGGAGAGGAAAGCGGAAUUCCAUGUGUAGCGGUGAAAUGCGUAGAGAUAUGGAGGAACACCAGUGGCGAAGGCGGCUUUCUGGCCUGUAACUGACGCUGAGGCGCGAAAGCGUGGGGAGCAAACAGGAUU
rnacentral:rRNA from 1 species